rnacentral:rRNA from 1 species
AUUGAACGCUGGCGGCAGGCCUAACACAUGCAAGUCGAGCGGAUGAAGGGAGCUUGCUCCUGGAUUCAGCGGUGGACGGGUGAGUAAUGCCUAGGAAUCUGCCUGGUAGUGGGGGAUAACGUCCGGAAACGGGCGCUAAUACCGCAUACGUCCUGAGGGAGAAAGUGGGGGAUCUUCGGACCUCACGCUAUCAGAUGAGCCUAGGUCGGAUUAGCUAGGUGGUGGGGUAAAGGCCUACCAAGGCGACGAUCCGUAACUGGUCUGAGAGGAUGAUCAGUCACACUGGAACUGAGACACGGUCCAGACUCCUACGGGAGGCAGCAGUGGGGAAUAUUGGACAAUGGGCGAAAGCCUGAUCCAGCCAUGCCGCGUGUGUGAAGAAGGUCUUCGGAUUGUAAAGCACUUUAAGUUGGGAGGAAGGGCAGUAAGUUAAUACCUUGCUGUUUUGACGUUACCAACAGAAUAAGCACCGGCUAACUUCGUG